GCCCCGCCCGCUGCGCACGCUUACCAGGCGCCCCUUAUCUGACAGGACGCGCACCGACUGCGCCCCGAAGUACUUCAGUAAGUCCUCCUUCUCCUCAGCCGUCAGCUCGGCCGGCAGGUGCCUGACGAGGAGGGUGCGGUCUCCCCGGGGCGGAGAAAGCGAAGCGGAGCCUGGGCCGCCUCGGGACAGCGGCAUCGGCGGCUCAGGCCCCGCCAUCUAGCUUCCCUGCAGAAGCGGCCAGAGACGGAACCUCCGCGCAAGCUUCCGGCCGAACUCCCGCAGUCACCGAGGCUGAGCGGAAGAUAGUUUCCGCUUCGCGCUAAGGAUUCUGGACGCAGGGAAAUCCCGCGAGAGGAGAACUCCUCGCGAGAAUGGCCUCCGGGAGAGUCGCUCUUCUCUUUUCGGGACUGUUGCGGGGGAGAGCGCCUAGGAGUCGUGCUUUAAGUUUAAUGAGAGGUUGUAAUAAAAUAAAGACUGAAAGAGACGCCACUGUUAGAAGGACAGCAAUCUCAUCGAAGAACGUCAGUCAUGCAAAAGAAAAAUACUGUAAUCCCAGGGAUCAAGUACUGAAGGAACCGUGCAAGGGCUGUUGCUCCCUGGGCUCUUAAUCCAGAUUUUUCAGAAAGUGAAUCUGGCUGGUGAAUGGAGAACGCUCGGGAAAUGUCAAGUGUGUUCCUAGCAUUUAGGACUGGUGAAACACAAGUCUCCAGCCUCAGAUUCAACAGUGCAGGCGAGAGAGCACGCCGUUAUCAGUCGGCAAAUACAGGCUGAAAGUUCUCGCCACGGUUUGUUUAUUAAACAAAAUUGGCUUCUUCCAUGAGUAAAUACCUAAAAAUGUGU
rnacentral:lncRNA from 1 species